UCUGCAUUCUGAAUACGGAGCUUCGUGCGGCAUUGUGUUGUUACCGUAUUAAUAACGUUAUAGUGCGCUGUACUACUUCUGUCUGAAUAGUGUGAACACACUAAAGAGUUUGCCGUCACCUACAUGUUGAACUGUGAACUGGUCCCAGUUUACACUGGACUCACGUUUACAAUCACGGGAAAUGAUGAUAGUCUUGUUGUUGCUGGGUGCCCUUGGUUGUAUGGGAGUCUCUCGUGUCACUGGCGUGGUGAAGAAGUAUGGGGAGAGUUAUUACUUUAUGCUGCAUGGAAACCCUCACGUCUUAGAGUUCCACCCGGAGCACAACUCAAAUGUGACAAUAUUGUGGAAAAAGGAUCAACGCGUAAUCACAUUGGAUAGGAAGUUUGUAAUGACGGGUAGUAUCUUUGCGAUACAUAAGUUAACUCAGAAUGACAGUGGCCACUACAUAAGUAGAGACAAAGAUCUGAAAGAAAUUUCCACCUACACACUUGAAGUAAAAGAAAUCCUAAGGACCGUAAUACGGACACCUGGUUACAACUUCAACUUCACUUUUAAUCUGGAACCAAACUCCUGUAACAUUUACUUCCGGCCAGAAGGCGACUCAGUGAUUAACUUAGUCUAUGGAGGCGUGCUGCAGGAGGGUUUGGAUGAAAUCGGUUGCAGCGGGUUUGAGCUGUUAAAGCCAUGUGGGAUUUUAAACAAGGUCGUCCAGAUGUCGUGCAACGGAAGGUAUGAGAUCAGAGAUCAGAAUGACAACACAGGCUUUGUGGUAACACUGGAAAUGGAGCGUAAGUAACCGCUGUUAUUUGAUAAGUGUCAGAUUACUGUUUUAUUUGAGUAUUGUCUGAUCAUAUGAGUUCUUUCUAUUAUCUACUUCUUGUUGAAAUGUUUCUUUUUCCCGUCGAUGAAAGUGAACAGUAAUUCAAAUCAGAGACAGGAAGGAUAUUCUCCCAUUUCAGAGAAUCAGACGGUCAAAAAUGUGAUGAUUUGAAUUGAAUGAUUGAUGCGUUACCAUAAAUGAUUGCCGAUACAUUCUCUGUCCAUCCACUAAAUGACUGAUUGUUGCAGCACAACCGUAUUCGCUACCUGGUCUCAGUAUUGGGGUUGGCGUCCUCUCCAUGUUCUUGUGCUGUUGCUGCAAGAUCUGCUGCUGUGGGAAGAAAAAGUCCCAAGAGGAGCCGACUGAAACUGCUGCUGCCGAACCAGAGGUCCAAUACCAAAGGCGUUACAAUGAGCCCUGCGGACCGAGCUCAGACCAACUCAUUGAGCCCUUUGGGACAAACUGCUUCAAUCAGCCUUCUUCUGCUCCGAGUGAUUCGCUGGUACACAACCAUCCGUUUCAGGAUUCGCCGCCCUCUUAUUCUGAGGUUUUACCUGAUGCUCAGCAGCCAGCUGCUCCAUCUCUCCCAGUGCACCAUGACCCUGAACCCAAGUUUGAAUUUAAGGGCGUGACCUUUCCCUGUGCUCCCCCACUCGAGUCCGACUCAAGCCGCUGUGACGUUUAUACCUCAGACAAACUCAACUUCCUAUGAGGGCCUUAUUUCCAAAGAUACAUCGGAAUGCGUGAACACUUCUUUGUUAACGUACUGAUUACUGGGACAUGGAAGGAUUAGCUUGAUAUUUUAGCAAAUACGCAUAUUCUUUUAAUGGAUUAAGCCAGUAAGGGAACCUUGCGUGCCCAAGGGCACCCUGGCAAUAUGUGCACGAGAGGUCUUUAUUUAAAGGUUGAAGUGCCCUUUUAUCUUCCUGCCAUAUGACCUCUUAUACAGCCAUUUGCAUUUGCGAAGCCUGUUAUUUUUGUUAUUUGUGAAAUGAAUCUUUACCCGUCCGAUUCUACCUCUUGAUUGGCUCGGACAUGUUGCCUUAUUUGCAGAAUUUGUUAGCUCUGGAUCAGUGGAAUGAAAAAUAACUUUUGAAUGAAAAUCUGAGAAAGAAUUCACAAUAAUGUUCUACCUCGUGAGUCUCACUUGAAUUGCUCACAGGAGCCUACGGAGUGAAUAGCUGCCUCAUUCCUGCUGUUUUACUGCCAUGAUUUACUGCAGACCGGCGUUACUGUGACGACACAAAGGUAAACCAGUCCUAUGUUUGCAAAGUUGUCUGUAUGUGAAAGUCGUCGUUGCUCUAGAGGUACAUUUGCUUGACGAUCUCUUGCGUGGAAUUUCACUUGCAGCUGUUAAAAACUUCUGUUAAAAACUUGUAAAAGUUGAUACUUCCAUUGUAGUUUAGUGUGGAUUCUUCAAAUUAACCUCUAUUGGCUGUUAACGAAUAUUGAUACAUAGUUAGUGUAUUUAAUUUGCUCAGGCCAGUUACAUAAAUAUAUCUAGAUGUGUAGAAGUCAUAUUAUAUGGAUUGUUUGAAAAACACAAAAGAAACAAGACCCAGUUUCGGUUUCCUGUUACAUAUUUUCAUAUGUAACUGCAUAUAUGUCAAAAUGUUACCAAACGUGCAUUACAUUAAGUCUAAUAUAUGUGGGACUUUUACAAACAUAUAUUUUUUGUGUACGUUGUUAAACAUGCAUGAAUUUAUUGAUUGUAUAAUUGGAUUUGGU
ensembl:lncRNA